rnacentral:other from 1 species
AUUAACCUGAAAUGUUCGAUUAAAUCCUGCUAUUUUGAACCUACAUUUUCUUAAACGGGAUUCCUAUAUUAUUGCAUGGAUGUCAGGCCUCCGGGCGAAAGCUUAAGCAGUGGAAGGCAGAAGUGUAAUUGCGGUUGCCCACCUAGCAACAGCUAGGCGUCAACUUGCAGGUUUCGGCAUUUUGGGGAUUAA